rnacentral:rRNA from 1 species
GACGAACGCUGGCGGCGUGCUUAACACAUGCAAGUCGAACGGAAAGGCCCUGCUUUUGUGGGGUGCUCGAGUGGCGAACGGGUGAGUAACACGUGAGUAACCUUCCCUUGACUUUGGGAUAACUUCAGGAAACUGGGGCUAAUACCGGAUAGGAGCUCCUGCUGCAUGGUGGGGGUUGGAAAGUUUCGGCGGUUGGGGAUGGACUCGCGGCUUAUCAGCUUGUUGGUGGGGUAGUGGCUUACCAAGGCUUUGACGGGUAGCCGGCCUGGGAGGGUGACCGGCCACAUUGGGACUGAGAUACGGCCCAGACUCCUACGGGAGGCAGCAGUGGGGAAUAUUGCACAAUGGGCGGAAGCCUGAUGCAGCAACGCCGCGUGCGGGAUGACGGCCUUCGGGUUGUAAACCGCUUUCGCCUGUGACGAAGCGUGAGUGACGGUAAUGGGUAAAGAAGCACCGGCUAACUACGUG